GGAUUGAGUUGGUGAUGGCUGGGCACGCCGUUCUCGGUAGUGCUCUAUGCUCUUUUGGUGUCCAGAUGUAGAAUUGUGGGAGGUCUGAUCCCAUUAAUGCUGAUUCUAGAUCUACCCACCUUCUAGUUUCUGGGGGCGUAUGCCAUAGGGCUAUUUGUGCCAUCUGCGCGGCUAUGUAGUAGAAGUGUAGGUGGGGUAGACCCAGGCCUCCUCUCGUUCU